rnacentral:rRNA from 1 species
AUUGAACGCUGGCGGCAGGCCUAACACAUGCAAGUCGAACGAGUGGCGGACGGGUGAGUAAUGUCUGGGAAACUGCCUGAUGGAGGGGGAUAACUACUGGAAACGGUAGCUAAUACCGCAUACCAUCAGAUGUGCCCAGAUGGGAUUAGCUAGUUGGUGGGGUAAAGGCUCACCAAGGCGACGAUCCCUAGCUGGUCUGAGAGGAGGACCAGCCACACGGGAAAUAGGAAACGGGCCAGACUCCCACGGGAGGCAGCAGUGGGGAAUAUUGCACAAUGGGCGCAAGCCUGGUGCAACCAUGCCGCGUGUAUGAAGAAGGCCUUCGGGUUGUAAAGGACUUUCAGCGGGGAGGCGUUACCCGCAGAAGAAGCACCGGCUAACUCCGUGCCAGCAGCCGCGGUAAUAU